AUUGAACGCUGUCGGCAGGCCUAACACAUGCAAGUCGAACGAGUGGCGGACGUGUGAGUAAUGUCUGGGAAACUGCCUGAUGGAGGGGGAUACCUACUGGAAACGGUAGCUAAUACCGCAUACCAUCGGAUGUGCCCAGAUGGGAUUAGCUAUUCGGUGGGGUAAAGGCUCACCUAGGCGACGAUCCCUAGCUGGUCUGAGAGGAUGCACAGCAACACUGGAACGGAGACACGGUCCAGACUCCUACGGGAGGCAGCAGUGGGGAAGAGUGCACAAUGGGCGCAAGCCUGAUGCAGCCAUGCCGCGUGUAUGAAGAAGGCCUUCGGGUUGUAAAGUACUUUCAGCGGGGAGGCGUUACCCGCAGAAGAAGCACCGGCUAACUCCGUGCCAGCAGCCGCGGUAAUUC
rnacentral:rRNA from 1 species